GGAAGUUCUACUCAGUGGCGGCGUUAUCACAAGUUGAGCUCAACAACACCAUGUAAGGCAAACCAAUAUAUGUGUGUUGUUAGCAAAGAAUAAUGAAGUGGAGCAAAGCCAACCGAUGCUCAGUGCUGUCUCCCGCUGUCUGUGGGGUCAUAUUUAUACUUCUUUAUCAAGCAUCCUUUUGUGUGUUUGCUCUCUCAAAACAUCCUUUCACCUGUGUCCACUUUAGCUAAAGAUUCCUUCAUAUGUUUGCCCCAGCAAAACACCACCUAACUGACUUUCCAAAGUACCCUUAAGUUUCCACUUUUUUGCAUUCCUUGCCUGCAUGCCUUAUCCCCAGAAAGGUAAGCGUUGCACAAUAUAUAUUGCAUAUAUGAUGAAUAAUAAGAGCAAAGAGGCCAGGUGAUCAGAUCCUUUUUUUUUUGGCUUUGAACUUGAAGUGUUUUAGCCUCUUCUGGUCUCCCUUUCCUAAUCAGUGAAAGAACAUCAGAAUAUCCAACUCCAUGACCUCUCAGAAAAAGCACACUAAAACUAAAAUAUUUGGUGUGUGGACAGUGCUGCGGUUUGGAUCUGAAGUGUCCAUUGUGUGUCCAAGGCAUGAUCCCCAGGACUGUGCUAUUGGAAAAUGAUGAAACUUUUAGUAGGGACAGGGAAGCUUUUCAGUCCCAAGACAUGUGCCCUUGAAGGGGUCUGUGACACUCGAUUAGCUUUUUAUCUUUGCUCCUGGCCAUGAGGCAAACAGCUUGAUGGUGCCAUGAAUGCUGGCCACCAUGCAGUGCUUGACACAAGUCUAAGAGCAAGCAUCAUGACCGACAGAUCAUGGAGUGCAGCCUCCGUAACAGUGAACUAAAAUAAGGCUUUCAGCAAGGAGUGAUGGAUAGCACGUGCUAAUAAUCUCAGCUCUUGGCAGGAGAAUCAGGAGUACAAAGUCAUCUUUAUCCUCAUGGUGAAUUCAAGGCCAGAUCAGGCUACAGGAGACCUCAUCUUGAAUGUCCAAAUUAAUUAAUUAAAGCUUAUCUUUUCAUAGUCUGAUUAUCUCUAGUAUUGUGUUACAGUGAUGGGAAGCAGACUCAGCACAUAGUCCCCUCUCUGUCUAGGCAAAAGCAGCCAGGCUGAGAGAACCAUGGAGCUCUGAAGCCAGUCCCAAGAAGAAGCAGAAGACACAAUACAAGCAGAAGACAGGGAGAGAAUAUUCUACGCGUAUAUACACAGGCUCAAGUAUUCAUUAAAAACAUAAAAGCAUUCUUUUGAUAUCUCCCAGUAGAAAGCCAUGAACACAGGGAAAACAUUCAUAAAAUAACUUUAGGUUGUAAAAUGUAGCAAGUCUGUGGUGGAAAAGCAGCUUCAAAACACAGCUGGUGUGUGGGGUUUCCAUUUCUCAGAAAGCCAGCAGUCGAGUUAUGAAAGGUAGGUCAUUCCACUUUGCUUCUCAGCAAAGUUGAGCACCUGCUCGGGAGAGGGGCUACAGAAAGCCCUGCCUGGCACCUUGCUUGCAGAAGGUAGCAGGGGGACUGAGCACGUUGUGUGCCCUUGGCACUACAGACUUCCCAAGGAGCCCUUAUAACUCUGGUUAGGGGGUGGCAGUGCAGAUGUCCAGUGCUGUCCUGUUCCAUUUGGUGGUGAGAAACUAGGUGUGAAACAGAUACAAAAAUCUGCCCAAAUCCAGAACUAGAAACAGUAGAGUUAAGAAUCCAAGCAUGGUCACCCAAGCCUAAAAUGGCCCAUUUAGCCAUUAUUCUAUUGGGCAUCAGGCCAGCACCACUAACAAGUGACGACCAGCUCCACUAACAAGUGACGAUCGAUCGAUCAAUCAAUCGAUCGAUCUCUUUUCAGCUCUGCAGAGGACUGAUAAUGGGAAGAGAAAGCCCCAACUGGCAUCACCCUGGGUUCAAGCAGCCAAAGGCAUGAAAAGUUUGACCUUGGCCUUUUAUUUCUUAGAACAGUUUAGGCUAAUCCCUACGGGUAUGCUGCUGCCAAGUUGGUUCUUUUACUGUGCUCAUCAGAAGUGCCAGAAAAAUACCCGCCCCCACCCCCCAUUUAGCCUCUGGAAGAAGAUGUUCUAAAGGGCUCACAAACAUCAAGAUGUAGCUCUUACCAAGCUCCAGCGUCAGAAGGAGUGCCUCAGCGUCUAAGUCCGUACACACACACGGCUUUUCAUGCAUCCUCUGCUGGGGAGGUCACAAUCUGAGGCACCCUUUAAAGCCACUUCUGGGAGAAAAGAAAGAGAAAAAAAAUCAACCACUGAAAUGUGAGCUGUUUCCUAAGGAGGCAUCAACAAACUCCUACCUGCCCCGGUCCUCAGUAACAUCAUGAGAUGGGCUGCUUGUGGUUGUCAAAACUGAUCUUCCCACUGCGGGUGAACACGUACGGCGGAUUGUUAUGGCUUAGGGCGCUUGACUGCACCGCUGUGAAAAUAUUCAGCAGAAUUCCACAAGCUCUUUGUUUGCCUUGCCUUAGUGGAAAUUCCUCCAGCUAUCCAAACACGCACCUGGGGGAGGUGUUUUUUUUUUCCCCCUCCACAUUUCAGGAAGGAGUUUCUUCUAAGUAAAAAUGUGUCCUUACCUGUCUUCUAAGUUCUCAGGCAAGACUUCUGGUUGGAGUUGAAGAUGACUAUGAACGUGUUCUGGUUGGAAAGGGAGGUGGAGUUGGCGGAGCCCGAGAGGUCUGUAGCAAACGUUCCUCCAACAGAGCUAAGCUGGGAAAAGGAAAGCCAAUGGAAGCCAACAAAGAAGGAAGCAUGAAGCAAGGCUCCCCCAGAUUCCUAGAAGCCCAGGAACACAAAAGCCAGGAAGAUGAAUGUCUUUUACAGUAGUAGACCUGUAUAUAGGAACGAGGAAGAUUCUAGGGUGAAAGAUGCGGGCUGCCGCUGGUCACCCAGAGGGGAGUAUGUACCUUGAGUUUCGUAACACGGAAUGGAAGUUUGGAGGCCCCUUGAAAAGAACCAAAGCACAAAGGAAGUUGGGCCUGAAGAAGGCUGGGAGACCUCUCACCCAGAGACCCAGGGCUCAGGACAGAGAAAGGAAGGUAGAACGCCAAGUGGAUCUCAUAUUUGCUCUGCGGGCUUCUGGGAAGUGUUUGAAAACAUUCUAUUUAAACUGUGCCUCUUAAGAGGGCUCUCCACUUACAUCUAACUCAGUGUGCUCAUAUUAGCAAAUAGAAAUUAUGGGAACAUUCCAAGUGUUCCCCGCCUUCCUGGUCCUCCCUCCCUGACCCCGAUAGUCUGUCCUGCCCGGAGUCUGGGCGAAUGUUUGUUUCUGAGGGAUGGAAACUGAUUAAAAACUAGAAGGCUGCUUGGGAGAAAUUUUAUAAUAGCAUGUGUGAGGUGAGUUCCACGGAAGGCUAGGGAGGGCAGGAAGGCCCCGUGCAGCAAGGGCUCCAUGCAGGCCAUCUGAAAAAAGAGGCUCCUCUUCCAACCCAGAGCUGUUGUCUUAAUUGUGGUGGAACUGCUCUUCAUAUUCCCUUAGCUUUUUAACACUAAAGAUGAGAAAUUGAGAAAUGAACAUUAGUUUGGUUUUCUUUUUUCUUUUUUCUUUUCUUUUUUUUUUUUUUUUUGAGACAGGGUUUCUCUGUGUAGCCCUGGCUGUCCUGGAACUCACUCUGUAGACCAGGCUGGCCUCGAACUCAGAAAUCCGCCUGCCUCUGCCCCCCAAGUGCUGGGAUUAAAGGCAUGCGCCACCACUGCCUGGCUUGAACAUUUGUUUUCAAGCACACAAGGCUGAUGUGCUCAGGUAGUACGUUUAAUACUCGAUUGGUGGCGUGUUUAUUAAAAGGGAUGUUAAAUUGCUCAAUCUUUCCUGGCUGUUCAUUUUGGACAGUCAACAGUUCAUGCCAUGGAAAGCAGGAGCUCUCUGCCUGGCACAGAAUGAAAGCAAAACUAAUACCUUUAUCAAUAAUGUGGAGAAGGCUCUGAGGGUCGUAAAAGCUAUGGGAAAGGGUGGAACCUAGAGAAUGUCUGUCAUUCAUAGGCUGUGGCUUACAGGGUGCUAUUGGCUAGAGCUCAUAAAGAAACUUUAUCCACUAUGAUGUAAAUUAUAAAUUAAACAUAGAC
rnacentral:lncRNA from 1 species